AUCCAAAGCAGUGUUCUGUGCACGCUGGGGGUUUUGCUUUGAAAUGGUGGUGCUGUGUGCUGUUCAUUCUUCAUACAGUCAGGGUUCCUACUUCUGGGCAGGGAAUUCAGGUGCCAGAGAUAGAUAAAUACUUCAGCUUAAAAAAGGGAAAGAAGAGGAGGAGGAGGAGGAAGAGGAGAAGGAGGAGGAGGAAGCAGAGAAGGAGGAGGAGGAGGAGAAAAGGAUUUGAAGAAAUUGAAUCAGUUCUGGAACAGCAGACACAGGAAUUCAGGACAUGCUACCCCAAAAUGUGAAAACUUGGCAUUUGAGAAGACAGCAGAAGCAGGAAGGUCACGCUCACUACCUCCCCCACAAUGCUCUACUCCCCUGAAACAGAUCAUAAAACCUAGGAAGGAUUUCCUGACCAUCCCCUCAAGUAGGUCUUAUGACCCUCAUGUGAGAGGUGCCCUCCCUAUACCCAGAAGAUAGCAACAUCCUCAUUUCUGAAGAUACAAGGACAAAGAGAAGAGUUUGAACAAACGGCUUCCUAAGUUCUCCCCAGUUUAUUAACAUUAUGUUACAGUCUCACCAACGCACCGCAAUGUAGCAGUCUCUCGUUUGAGGUAUCACCCUGAGUUCUCGGUCUCACAACCAUGACAAUUAAGGAACAUGAUCACCAAGGGUGAGGUUGGAGUGGAAGUUUAAUAAGCAAAAGAAGAAAGUUCUCCACCACAGAAAGGGGCCCAAAAGAGGGUUGCCAUUUUUACAGUUGAAUGCAAAGGCUUUUAUAAGAAACCAGUUAGAGCUGGGCAUCUCAUUUGCAUGAGAUGCGAAUUUCUGGUAGCUCCACCCCAUCCUCCUAAUGCACAUGUAGGCCCUUAGCUUGAGUUACUCCGUAUUGCUUUGUUGCCCUUACUGCACAUGUGUCAGGGGAUGGAAUUUUCCAUUACGGGCAUGUCUGGGCAAGUCACCUGUGUAGGCUUUCUUAUCUGUGUGGCUGUGGGCAUGUCUUAGGCAAGUGCCGCUGUGCAAGUUCCCUUAUCUGUGCCUGCAGCUUGAUUUUUCUGGCUGUUCUUUUGUUUGAAAAGAUUCAACCAAGGACCCACCAUAACUGCCUGCCUGACUGGUUUCUUCCUCCUUCCUCUCUCAAUGAUAUCAUUCUCCCUUUGUUCAAUCAUAUUUCUUCAUCAAACCUAGCAUAAAGAAUAUACAAAUUUAUGCAUUUGGGGGAGGUCUUCCUUUCCUUAUGAAGGCUUCCAUACCACGUAUAAAUAAUAUGUGUAUGAUUUUCUCUUGUGAAUCUGUAUUUUGUUAUAGGGGCCUCAGCCAUGAACCUAGAGAUUAGUGAGCAAAAAUUAUUUUUUUCUCAAGUGUUUCUUGCUUGAGAUGAUUUUCUUAUCCCCAAGAUUAAAAUAUUAUGUGUUUCUUCCAUGAUUUUUAUGGUGUUUAUAUCUAUUUCUUUAAUCUUUCUAGAAUGUACUUUUGUACAUGCUGAAAGGUAGAAUUAAUUUUGCAAAAAGGAAAAA